GGUCGCAUAGCUCAGCUGGUUAGAGCGCCUGCCUCACAUGCAGGAGGUCCCCCGUUCGAGCCGGGGUGCGACCA
rnacentral:tRNA from 1 species